rnacentral:misc_RNA from 1 species
AUCUUUAUUUUCUUUAAUAUUAAAAACUUGAAAACCUAAGAAUUACAGGGCAAAAGAUCAUCACCAUCAUCAUCUUCAUCAGCUCUGAUUACACUUUACCAGAGAGGAUUUUUAGCUCCCCUAAAACAAAACAAAUAAAUACUUGACAAGAAACUAACACAUUAAAAAAAAAAAAAAAAAAAAAAAAGUAAAGUACCCUAUCAAAGAAAAUUAAUGCAUGAUCAUCCUCUCAUCCUUAUCUCUAUAAUUAUAUAAUAUAAUUAAUAAUCCUUUUCUAGUUUUACUCUCUCGUUAAUUGAUUCUUUCUUCUGCUAAUCUUCAAACCCAACUAUCUUCCAAAUUGCAUUUCUCACCUGCCUCAAGUCUCUUCCUUUCAAUGUUCUCCCUAUCCCUUCAUGAACAGAAAAAGAAGCCCCUCUCCUCCUUGCUAAAUAUUCAUGGGGAGGAAUCCUUCCAUCUUCGUCAUCACCACCAUGAUCAUCACCAUAAUAGUCACCAUCUUGAUCUUGAUCAUCAUCUUUAUGAUGCCUUCUGUAGUGAUCUUCCCUAUAAAUCUUGGACCAAUCUGGUAUGUUCACUGGAAGAGAUGCAGCGCAGGUCACCGGCCGGCUAGUCCUUUCCACCACCAUAUUUCUGCCACCUUUUCUUGAUGGACGGGAACUGGGUGCGAUUUUCUUGGCCUCCAAUUGUGACACUGCACUAGAAUUAUUACUAUUGUUCCAAACAUCAGCCUCAUCAAAUUCGAAAAGAUUCUCAGGAGCAUUCAGAGGAUUAAAAUCACCAUCUGGGGUUAAAAAAAUGAAGUUAUUCUCUCUUUUCGCAUGGAAUGCCAUUAAUGAUGACCAGGAAAUAAAGAAAAGAAAGAUUUGGAAUUUGGGUUUUGAGGUGGAAAAAAGAGAUCAGAGAAGUAGAGGAUGAG